AAGUCGUAACAAGGUUUCCGUAGGUGAACCUGCGGAAGGAUCAUUAACACGUAUCCAACGUUAAACCCCCCGUGAACUUUUAUUGCGAACCACGCCUUUGUUAGAAAGUAGCAAUCCCUGGUAAAUCAUCGCCGAACAGUUUUGAUUCAGGGAUCUCUGCGAAGAGAGCGGUUGUAGCGCGAGGUAAGUGGCCUGGCAUUCCUCUGCUUGUUAGUGUCUGACAGUGUCACUAGCUCUGUACGAAUGGCGCAGUCACGAUCGCUAGAGGCCGACACGGGCAUAGACCCCCCUAUCACCUUUGCAUGAAAACGGGCCUGCGCUUAAUUGUGCGGCCACCAAACUCGAACAACUGUUAACAAUGGAUAUCUUGGUUCUC
rnacentral:misc_RNA from 1 species